rnacentral:misc_RNA from 1 species
AUUCAUCAUGUAAAUGCUUGUCGAACUGGUUUAUGUUUGCUGCCAGGGAAGUUUUAAUGUAACAUGUAGCCCUGACCACAUCGGAAGAAACAAUCCAAGACCAAAGAGCAAUGUAAACAACAUGUCUAGUCCAAAAUGGUGAAAUUGACAAUAGACCUUAUUGCUCGGGGUACCUCAGGGUACACCAAGAAGAAGCGAGAUGAAUCAAUGCAACAUUACCUAAAACGACUCACCCAUCUGUAUCUGGAAGACAGAUGCAUUGAUGAAGUGGGAGAAGAUUUGUCGAUGUGCAGGAACUUGACAGUUUUGUACUUGUAUGACAAUCAACUGUUAAGGAUUCCAACUUUACAUCAUAACCAGCAUCUGACCAUGUUAUACCUACAGAAUAAUGACAUUCACAAGAUAGAAAAUCUCUCACCAUUAACAAGGCUGACUAAACUAUACCUUGGAGGAAAUUGUAUCACUGUCAUAGAAGGCUUAGACAAACUGGAGAACCUCCAGGAACUACAUAUAGAGAACCAGAGGAUGCCACCCGGAGAGAAACUUCUGUUUGAUCCACGAACCAUGCGAGCUAUUUCUAGUUCACUACAAGUGCUAAACAUUGCAGGAAAUAACCUAGACAGUAUUAGAGACAUUGAAUGCUUACGCAAUUUGUAUCAGUUACAUGCCAAUGACAAUUUACUGACGGAUAUGAAAGAGCUGGCUCAUGUCAUCGGUGGGAUGUUCAGGCUGUGGAGGUUAGAUCUGAUGGGUAAUCCUCUCUGUCACAAGGCAAAGUACAGAGACAGAGUCAUCGUAAUGGCCAAAAAUAUUGAUGUGCUAGAUGGCAAAGAAAUCAGUGAGACUUCCAGACGAUUUCUACACAAUUGGCAUGAUGCCAGAGAAGUGCAGAAGAAGCGGAGGGAAGAAAACUUGAGGAAAGGAAGUGGGGAAUUUGGUGAUGGAGCAUUAUUACGGGAACUUCCCCCUGUCAAGGAUCAUCCCCGCCCCCCACACAAGAUUCCAGGGUACAUGAUGCCGGGUUUACCCAGAAAGCAAUUUGAUGAAAUUCUUGCAAGAACCAACAGCAACCUUGCAGAGGACCCAGUCCAGACACAUUCCGCCUCAAUGAAGACUCGGAGCGGGAUCUUACGGUCCAAAACUCUAGUGAUUGGUUGACAGCCAGACUGCCAGAUAUUUUUGGCACCUCGCUUAGUAUUUCACUUAAGAGGGGUUCCCUCAGUGUUGAUGUGGGAGCAGUGUCAAGCAGAGCAGACCUACAGAGGGUGUUGCCCCUUUCUCGCUCUCUGACAAGAUUGCCUCAGCACCUGUCGGGCGGCGGCGGCAACCACUUCCUAUAAGCUUCGAGUUUGGACACCUGGAUCUAAAUCGCCACAUACAGAAAAACGACAUCAUCAACACCACGUAAACACUGACAACAUGUGAAUUUACACACACAUAACAGUCACAUAUUCACAUCCACCUGACUUUAAUAUGUUACUAUAAGAAGUUAAUUAUUGCUAGAUUGGACUUGAUCUGAAUAAUUUUCAGUACCAUAUGUCACUAGAUUUAGGAUUUUUGUGUUCAAUCAUUGCUGUGGCACACAUUCAAAGUGUGGAAAGCUUUGGGUCUACUGCAUUUUAUUUCUCAUUCUUAAAUAUUCUUUUGAAGUUCUCCUGUUCUCCUCAAACUAAUAUUGCUCAAAUUUUCAUUACCUUGGAGAACAACUACGUUAUUAUUUUUCUUGUCAACUGUCUGUAUUUAUUAUAGUUGAAGAUAUUUUAUGAUGUGCGCCCCAUAACUUGUUCUAGACCUAGAAGUUGUUUGCCUCUCUUUAUUUUUUAUACCUAUUUAAUUUUCAUUGGUGAGAUUAUAGCUGGUAAACUUUGUUUUUAUAGUCAGGAGGUAUGAAUACAGCAUGUAUUUGGUAUCAGUAUUAGAAUUAAUGUAUUUAUAUAUAAAUUAUUGAUAUGUGUCCAUCUUUUUUUUUAAAAACAUAACAAGGCAUUAUUCCAUUUUAUUUGUAUAGAUGAUGUAGUUUCAUUGAUUAAUGUAAGGUGUAAGUACCGGUACAAUAAAGUAGAAGUGUAAAGACUUGUCAAUUAAUGCCUGCAAGCAUGACCUAUGCACCUUUGUGUUGCUGUAGUCCAGUUCUGUCUGUGAUAUUUGAAUAAUGAAAUGCUUUAUUAUUUUUAUUUGAAUGACAACACUCAUAUUGUCCAUUCCAUUGCCUUGUCCUGUGCAUGAAAACAAAAAUAAUGUUAGUAUUUAUAUAUUUAGCAUACAUACUGUUAAUUUAAAAUGAUUAGGUUGGUUUUUUUUUAAAUUUUCACUAACAUUUCGGCUUAUAAAACAAAUGAAAUAAAGUAAGCUUAAAUUAUCCGUCCAUCAUCUCCUGUUGGCUUAUUAUGAUUCGAUGAAGUUUUAAUUUUUGCUUUGAUUGACCUUUUGAACUAAAGCUUUGGACUUGCAAUGCCUUUGGAUAUCUUGUGUUCUGUGAAUCAGAAAGUGCUAAGUUGACAAAAUUCUUUAGUGACAUUGAGCUGCUUGUUAAUUAAAUGUUAAAAUAAUCUUUUUGAGUUUUCUAUCACCCUUUUUCUCCCUUAGACAUCAGUUGAAUUUUACCGGAAAGUGAAUUCAAUGUACAAUUAUGUAUUUAUAAAUCUGCAUGUUUGACACUCACUUUUGCUGUAAUUAAAUUUCAAUUUGUUUACUUCUGUUGUUCAAAGAACUGUUUUCUUUUUUCGCCUAUUGUUGUGAUAGUAAAUUUUUAUGCACAUUUUGUACAGUGAUGUGGAAGCAAAGCAAUUUCUAAAAUUGUAAAUCAAUAUGCUGUGGCAAUGGUGCAUGUUUGUGAUCAAAUUUAAAAGCAGACUAUUUAUGUUAAAAUAUGUGAACAGAUCUUUUGAAAUAAUUGAGAUUUAAAUAAAAUGUAGAAAAUU